CCGGUGUGCAGGCAACGGAUACUUCUCCUGCUAAGAGAGAGACCCGGGUUCGAAUCCCGGCCACCGGUCCA
rnacentral:tRNA from 1 species